CACCAAUGGCGAAGGCAGCCCCCUGGGAUAACACUGACGCUCAUGCACGAAAGCGUGGGGAGCAAACAGGAUUAGAUACCCUGGUAGUCCAUGCCGUAAACGAUGAUUACUGGCUGUUGGGUUUUCGGAUUCAGUGGCUAAGCGAAAGCGGUAAGUAAUCCACCUGGGGAGUACGCCGGCAACGGUGAAACUCAAAGGAAUUGACGGGGGCCCGCACAAGCGGUGGAUUAUGUGGUUUAAUUCGAUGAUACGCGAGGAACCUUACCAAGGCUUAAAUGGGAAUUGACAGGCUCAGAAAUGGGUUUUUCUUCGGACAAUUUUCAAGGUGCUGCAUGGUUGUCGUCAGCUCGUGCCGUGAGGUGUUAGGUUAAGUCCUGCAACGAGCGCAACCCCUGUCACUAGUUGCCAUCAUUUAGUUGGGGACUCUAGUGAGACUGCCUACGCAAGUAGAGAGGAAGGUGGGGAUGACGUCAAAUCAUCACGGCCCUUACGCCUUGGGCCACACACGUAAUACAAUGGCCGGUACAGAGGGCAGCUACACAGCGAUGUGAUGCAAAUCUCGAAAGCCGGUCUCAGUUCGGAUUGGAGUCUGCAACUCGACUCUAUGAAGCUGGAAUCGCUAGUAAUCGCGCAUCAGCCAUGGCGCGGUGAAUACGUUCCCGGGCCUUGUACACACCGCCCGUCAAGCCAUGGAAGUCUGGGGUACCUGAAGUCGGUGACCGUAACAGGAGCUGCCUAGGGUAAAACAGGUAACUAGGGCUAAGUCGUAACAAGGUAACC
rnacentral:rRNA from 1 species